rnacentral:rRNA from 1 species
AACGAACGCUGGCGGCAUGCCUAACACAUGCAAGUCGAACGGGAUCCUGGCUUCGGUCAGGUGAGAGUGGCGGACGGGUGAGUAACGCGUGGGAACCUGCCCAGUGGUGGGGGAUAACUGCGGGAAACUGCAGCUAAUACCGCAUGAGCCCGAGAGGGGAAAGAUUUAUCGCCAUUGGAGGGGCCCGCGUUCGAUUAGGUAGUUGGUGAGGUAACGGCUCACCAAGCCGACGAUCGAUAGCUGGUCUGAGAGGAUGAUCAGCCACACUGGGACUGAGAUACGGCCCAGACUCCUACGGGAGGCAGCAGUGGGGAAUAUUGGACAAUGGGGGCAACCCUGAUCCAGCAAUGCCGCGUGAGUGAUGAAGGCCUUCGGGUUGUAAAGCGUCUUUUGGUCGGGGACGGAUGAUGACGGUACCGCAGAAUAAGACCCGGCUAACUUCGUGCCAGC